UUAAACACUCUAACUUCUCCAUUGCAUCGUCACUCAUCUGAUACACAAAAUCCCCAAAAGUAAUUUUACCCUAAGGCAACAUAAAUUUCUCUCCACUUCUCCACUCUGUUCGCCUCUUCUUCUCCACUCCAUUCGCCUCUUCUUCUCCAUUUGUUUGCCUGAAAUAUGGACUUCUCCAUUCCAUUCGCCUCUUCUUCUCCAUUUUAGCUUGAAAUCUGUACUUCUCCACUCCGUUCGCCUCUUCUUCUCCAUUUUAGCCUGAAAUCUGUACUUCUCCACUCUGUUCGCCUCUUCUUCUCCAUUUUAGCCUAAAAUCUGUACUUCUCCACUCCGUUUGCCUCUUUUUCUCCAUUUGACGCUUGAAAUCUGGACUUCUCCACUCUGUUCGCCUCUUCUUCUCCAUUGUACGCUUGAAAUCUGGACUUCUCCACUAUGUUCCCCUCUUCUUCUCCACUCUGUUCCCCUCAUCUUCUCCAUAGUAUUACUACUUGCUUUCAUAGUGAAGUCAAGAGAGCUUUGAAGAAAAGCACUUAAUUGGAAACCUUUAUUCACCUGAUUCAUGCAAUGAAGCUUUGAAUGGGGUGACUGUUGUUGUUCAAUUUUGUAUUAACCCUUCCAUAGAGAGGAAUUCCAGGAAACCUUCUUUCACCUGAUUCAUGGGAAUGCAAACAUCAAUGCAAUUAGAGCCGCUUCAGAAAAAGGUGAAACCUGUGUUGGAUGAAGAGAAAUCCAAGGCUAUCGGCCUAGUCUUUAAUAAUGGGCGCAUGAAGAAGCGACCAGCGAAAUUAGCGAAAUGCUUUGAAGUAUUGCGUUCAUUGCAGAAUCGUCACAUGAACAUGCGUGGUGCUGUUUUUACUGUUGAAAGUUCUUGAGAAUGGGUAUAAGAUGAAGUAAAUGCAGCAAUCAAGAUUUUCCAGCCUCCAUACACUAUUAGCAAUGGGUACGAAUCACACCCACCUCUCUGUCUCCAAUUAAGCCAAUCCCAGCCUCAAAAAAAAGAGACGCUACCAAAAUCAAUGCAACUAGAGUAAACUUUUUUACUUGAUACAGUUGUAAGUUAUAUAUAAUUUAUGUUUAAUAAGUUUAUUAAUUUAAUUCAACCCUGUACAUUUUUUUUUUUCAAUAUUUGCAACAAACUGUAGCUGCAUUAACAAAAAGUUGACAACUGGGGAAGCACAUCACUCCUUACUCUAUCAAUAACUUGCCCCACAGUUCAAAAGUCAAGCUUGAUCAGUAAGCUUCUGCUACUAAAUACAAGUAAAAUUAAGCUGCAGGAUCAAUAGAUUUAGCAUGCAAUAUUGUAUGAAACAAGCUCUAUAUUACUGUAGAACAAUCUGCCAUGGUAGUUUGCAAACUGCAGUUUGCAAUUUUGCAGUCGGCAUUUUUGCAAACUAUAAUCUGCAUUUUGCAAACUGCAGUAUGCAAAUUGUAGACUGCCGUUUACAGUCUGUAAAAUUGCAGUUGGCAUUUUUGCACUAGUGAUUGUGAAGUUGAAUAUUUAAAGAUGUUCUUUUAAACCUGCAUGGUGCCAUUUUUUAGAACUAGUGAUUGUGAAGUUGAAGAUUUAAUCAUGUUCUUUUCCUCUUUCGUUUGCAUUUAAUAUUUGGGGUGCUUUUGUCUUAAUCUUUUCUUGAAUUUACAAUAUAUAUGUGUUGUUAUCUUUGAGAAUAUACAUGGGAAUUGAAGAUUUUUUUUUGUAUUA